AUUGAACGCUGGCGGCAGGCCUAACACAUGCAAGUCGAGCGGAUGAAGGGAGCUUGCUCCUGGAUUCAGCGGCGGACGGGUGAGUAAUGCCUAGGAAUCUGCCUGGUAGUGGGGGAUAACGUCCGGAAACGGGCGCUAAUACCGCAUACGUUCUGAGGGAGAAAGUGGGGGAUCUUCGGACCUCAAGCUAUCAGAUGAGCCUAGGUCGGAUUAGCUAGUUGGUGGGGUAAAGGCUUACCAAGGCGACGAUCCGUAACUGGUCUGAGAGGAUGAUCAGUCACACUGGAACUGAGACACGGUCCAGACUCCUACGGGAGGCAGCAGUAGGGAAUAUUGGACAAUGGGCGAAAGCCUGAUCCAGCCAUGCCGCGUGUGUGAAGAAGGUCUUCGGAUUGUAAAACACUUUAAUUUGGGAAGAACAGCAGUAAGUUAAUACCUUGCUGUUUUGACGUUACCAACAGAAUAAGCACCGGCUAACUUCGUG
rnacentral:rRNA from 1 species